rnacentral:lncRNA from 1 species
UGAGGCCAGGGGUUCAAGACCAGCCUGGGCAACAUAGCAAGAUCCCAUCUCUAAAAAAUGUUUAAAAAAACUUAGCCAGAUGUGGUGGUUCACACCUGUAUUCCCAGCCACUCAGGAAGCUGAGGCUCAGAAUAUCAGGCUGCAGUGAGCCAUGAUCGUGCCACUGCAUGAACCCCAGCCUGGCUGACAGAGUGAGACCCUGUUUCAAAAAAAAAGAAAAUGCCAUCCGCAGUGCUGGGACCUGCGUUCUUACCUCACCUGGGUUGCACAUCUCUCCUUGGCCAGCAUGCACGCUUUUACAUGCACUGCUGCUGUCUUCAGCAUCUGCACGGUACAUUUCACUGCCGCUUACUCAGCUGUCCCCUGAGGCUGGACAUUUAAUUUGUGUCUGGCUUGUCGUUGUUAUCAGCGCCACUGUGACACACAUCCUCAGUUACUUCUGAGUUGUGGGCUUGCCAUGCGGGAGGUUGCCAUGCGGGAGGUUGCCACUAGGGAGAGUGGGCUGUGUUGUACGCUUUGGUGGCCCACUCCCCAGUCUCUCCACCUCCCCCAGCAGCAAAUGAGCCAGCCCCAGUCCCUGUGCCCCAACCUCCAGGGUUAACCCCUGGGUGUGCAUUUGUUUAUUCUGAAUCUUAUCAUUUAUCGCCCACCAGACUGACUUGGCCAUCUCUGGCCUCGAAGGGUCUCCCUCAGCGAGAGGUGUCCUUCCUGAGCUGUCGCUCCAUCCUGAGCAAGGCCUUCGCCCUGGGAGCUUAGUAAUGUCAACCUUGUUCUAAACAGGACCUGGGGCUACACUUCAGUCUUCCAGAUAUCGAAAGAUGGUUCUAAGAGGCUCUAAAAACCCUAAUUUUCAGAUGGACAGUGCCCUCUUCUUUCAGCCUCAGCCUCUUGUGUGAUAGGCUCUUCCAUUACGUGAAGGUUUUGUCAGCCUAGGAGUAGGGUGGAUCACAGCUCAUUGGCUGGAUCUGGUUGCAGAAUUGUAGGGUGGGAGUGGACGUUGGGGAGAGGCGGGCAUAGGGGAAUGGGCCUGUGAUGUCACCGUUUCGCCCGACAGGGCUCUGAGUGUGAGCAGUGUGCUCCCCUGUGCUGCUGGAGA